rnacentral:rRNA from 1 species
GGAUGCGAUCAUACCAGCACUAAAGCACCGGAUCCCAUCACAUUCCGAAGUUAAGCGCGCUUGGGCGAGAGUAGUACUAGGAUGGGUGACCUCUUGGGAAGUCCUCGUGUUGCAUUCC